rnacentral:rRNA from 1 species
UACGUAGGGGGCAAGCGUUGUCCGGAUUUAUUGGGCGUAAAGCGCGUGUAGGCGGCUAGACAGGUCCGCUGUGAAAACUCGAGGCUCAACCUCGAGAUGUCGGUGGAAACCGUUUGGCUAGAGUCCGGAAGAGGAGAGUGGAAUUCCUGGAUGUAGCGGUGAAAUGCGCAGAUAUCAGGAAGAACACCCGUGGCUAAGGCGGCUCUCUAGUACGGUACUGACGCUGAGACGCGAAAGCGUGGGGAGCGAACAGG